GGACUACACCUGCCCUGGCCCCACCCUACUUUCUCCUGGUUAAGAAGCAGGGAGCCAGACCAACUUCUUUCCAUUUUUAUGAAAUAGGACUGUGAGAACCAGCUGACACUCUGCUCCUGGGAAGAUGGAGUGACUUAUUGGAUUGAUAAGUGUGGGAUGGAAAACCAGGUGUGGCCCCUCACCCCCUUAGGAGUGAGCCAGCCAGCAGAAAGCAGGUGCUCUCCUCUGCUCUGCCAUCAGGCGGUGUUAUUGAAACCAGUCUAGUCUCACCAGUACAGACUCAGCAACCGGGGCAGUAACUCGUCCCUCUACCAGAAGGAUUCCUG